rnacentral:rRNA from 1 species
UAGGGAAUCUUCCGCAAUGGACGCAAGUCUGACGGAGCAACGCCGCGUGAGUGAAGAAGGAUUUCGGUUCGUAAAACUCUGUUGUUAGAGAAGAACAGCGCAUAGAGUAACUGUUAUGCGUGUGACGGUAUCUAACCAGAAAGCCACGGCUAACUACGUGCCAGCAGCCGCGGUAAUACGUAGGUGGCAAGCGUUGUCCGGAUUUAUUGGGCGUAAAGCGAGCGCAGGCGGUCAAUUAAGUCUGAUGUGAAAGCCCCCGGCUCAACCGGGGAGGGUCAAUGGAAACUGGUUGACUUGAGUGCCGAAGAGGAAAGUGGAAUUCCAUGUGUAGCGGUGAAAUGCGUAGAUAUAUGGAGGAACACCAGUGGAGAAGGCGACUCUCUGGUCUGUAACUGACGCGGAGGCUAGAAAGCGUGGGUAGCAAACAGG